rnacentral:lncRNA from 1 species
UCACUGCUUAAUUCUCUUGUGCUGUUGAUGUGGGAGACUUCAGAGUGACAACAAAAAUAAGCACCUGACAGAAGAAGAGCAGUGAAUGUCUCUUAAUCUUAAAGCUUUUUGAGAAACUGCAGCGGUAAUCAACAGUACUCAUCAGUAAUUUCCAACUGCAUGUUCAUCUACCUGAAGGAAAACCAGCCUGAGUCAAGAAGAAAGAGUUUCCCUUUAUUUGCUGUGCUAAAAUAAAGCUCUGCUAAGGGAACAUGAAGGCUGCAAAGGCACGCUUUCAAUAGAGGGAGGAGACUCCAGGAUUAAUAUGGUCAGUGUCAUGUUUUAGGACUUUCAUACUCAUGCAUUAUAAUACUGCCUUUUGUUAGAAUUUGCAUACUAUUUCAGUUGUACAGUAAUGCUCAUAAUGCCAUUUCAGUUUAAAAUGGUUUUCAAUUAUGAGAACGGUAGGUCUUUUGGGG